rnacentral:tRNA from 1 species
CAUCAAGAAGCUAGCCCAGCGUUAACCUUUUAAGUUAAAGACUGAGAAUACUAUAUUCUCCUUGAUGA